AGUCGGCCUGCGCGGAAGAUGUAACGGGGCUAAACCAUGCACCGAAGCUGCGGCAGCGACGCUUAUGCGUUGUUGGGUAGGGGAGCGUUCUGUAAGCCUGCGAAGGUGGCCUGUGAGGGCUGCUGGAGGUAUCAGAAGUGCGAAUGCUGACAUAAGUAACGAUAAAGCGGGUGAAAAGCCCGCUCGCCGGAAGACCAAGGGUUCCUGUCCAACGUUAAUCGGGGCAGGGUGAGUCGACCCCUAAGGCGAGGCCGAAAGGCGUAGUCGAUGGGAAACAGGUUAAUAUUCCUGUACUUGGUGUUACUGCGAAGGGGGGACGGAGAAGGCUAUGUUAGCCGGGCGACGGUUGUCCCGGUUUAAGCAUGUAGGCGGAGGUUCCAGGUAAAUCCGGUACCUUUUAACGCUGAGGUGUGAUGACGAGGCACUACGGUGCUGAAGUAACAAAUGCCCUGCUUCCAGGAA
rnacentral:rRNA from 1 species